rnacentral:rRNA from 1 species
GACGAACGCUGGCGGCGGGCCUAACACAUGCAAGUCGAACGCACUCGACCUUCGGGUCAUAUGAGUGAGUGGCGAACGGGUGAGUAACACGUGAGAAACCUGUCCCGAAGACUGGAAUAACCCGAGGAAACUCGGGCUAAUACCGGAUAAGACCACAUUUCAAAAGAAAUGCGGGAAAAGAAGUCUCAACCUUCACUCGAGGAUGAGUUCGCGCAACAUUAGCUUGUUGGUGGGAUAAAAGCUCACCAAGGCUACGAUGUUUAGCCGGCCUGAGAGGGUGAUCGGCCACACUGGAACUGAGACACGGUCCAGACUCCUACGGGAGGCAGCAGUGGGGAAUAUUGCGCAAUGGGCGAAAGCCUGACGCAGCAACGCCGUGUGGAGGAUG